rnacentral:rRNA from 1 species
GUGCCAGCAGCCGCGGUAAGACGGAGGGUGCUAGCGUUGUUCGGAAUUACUGGGCGUAAAGGGCGCGUAGGCGGCUGCUCAAGUCGGGUGUGAAAGCCCGGGGCUCAACCCCGGAACGGCACCCGAGACUGGGCGGCUCGAGACCGGGAGAGGUGGGUGGAAUACCCAGUGUAGAGGUGAAAUUCGUAGAUAUUGGGUGGAACACCGGUGGCGAAAGCGGCUCACUGGCCCGGUUCUGACGCUGAGGCGCGAAAGCGUGGGGAGCAAACAGGAUUAGAAACCCUAGUAGUCC